ensembl:lncRNA
CUCACCGUGAUGUCAGCCUGCAAUGGUGUGCAGUGAGACGGACCGGAGGAGGGAGGAGAGGCGCACACCCACUUCCUUGGUCUGGAUCUCUGCUAACCUGGAGGCGAACCCUGUCCUCUUGCCGAAGGACUGAUCAUGGUGAAGCCCCGUCAACAGCCUCCUCAAUCCCAAACCAGCUCAGACAUGGCGUUUCUGAUCCCGCCACCUAUCGAAGAGGUUAUGAUAGGGAUGGGACAGUUUCUGGAUGGAGCAGUGUUUACCUCACUCCAAGUCCUGUAUCACCUCACCUCCUCAUGUGCUGAUCUUCACGAGGCUGAAGCUGAAGUUAGAGAUGUUCACCUAACUGUGAGCCUCACUGACGGGGCUUGUUUUCACAUUGGUUGCCGAACCGUCCAUGUGUUUUCUCAGUCACUCCUACGGCAGGAAUCCUUGAAAGAGGAGCAACCUGCUCAGGAGAAACUCUUCAUCGAAAGUGAGAGGAAGUGCACCCACUACAUCGUCUUCUGGAAAAGGGUCAAUAUUAUCAAAACCACCAAACAUACAUUUUGAAUGGAUAAUCACUAACAGAAAAUAAAAAU